UACGUAGGGGGCAAGCGUUGUCCGGAAUUACUGGGCGUAAAGCGUGCGCAGGCGGUAAUGUAAGACAGGUGUGAAAUCCCAGGGCUCAACCUUGGAACUGCAUUUGUGACUGCAUUGCUGGAGUGCGGCAGAGGGGGAUGGAAUUCCGCGUGUAGCAGUGAAAUGCGUAGAUAUGCGGAGGAACACCGAUGGCGAAGGCAAUCCCCUGGGCCUGCACUGACGCUCAUGCACGAAAGCGUGGGGAGCAAACAGG
rnacentral:rRNA from 1 species